rnacentral:rRNA from 1 species
GGCUUCCCGCAAGGGACUUCUGUAGAGGUGCUGCAUGGCUGUCGUCAGCUCGUGUCGUGAGAUGUUGGGUUAAGUCCCGCAACGAGCGCAACCCUUGUUCGCUGUUGCCAUCAGGUCAAGCUGGGCACUCUGCGAAGACUGCCGGUGAUAAACCGGAGGAAGGUGGGGAUGACGUCAAGUCAGCAUGGCCUUUAUGUUUGGGGCUACACACGUGCUACAAUGGCCGGUACAAACCGUCGCGAUCCCGCGAGGGGGAGCUAAUCGGAGAAAGCCGGUCUCAGUUCGGAUUGCAGGCUGCAACUCGCCUGCAUGAAGUUGGAAUCGCUAGUAAUCGCGGAUCAGCACGCCGCGGUGAAUACGUUCCCGGGCCUUGUACACACCGCCCGUCACAUCACGAAAGCCGG